rnacentral:snoRNA from 1 species
GGCCUCCUGGCACUUACCCCAGUCUGUGUUCUUAAACUGACUAUAUAGAAAGAGGAGGGAAAGUAAAACUAUCUCAUUUACAUCUCAGCCCAGGCUCUGUGCCUGAUCUGUAUUGUUAAUAGGAAGACAUGU